rnacentral:lncRNA from 1 species
CCACUAUUGUAUGUUCCCAAAUGAUCCCCGGGUUAGCUCAUUUAAUUGACUGCACCACUACUGGACUAAUAAGUAAGAUAACUAGCUAUUUGGGUCAAAAGCCUAAAUAUAUCAUUUAGUGGGAGGCUCCAUUUAAUUAGCUUUUGUGUAAGGGGCCUUAUGUUAUUUUACAAGGUGGGUCCCUUAUUGAAAAAGCAAAUAACGUGGGUUUUAUUUUUUG